rnacentral:rRNA from 1 species
AACGCUGGCGGCAGGCUUAACACAUGCAAGUCGAACGCCCCGCAAGGGGAGUGGCAGACGGGUGAGUAACGCGUGGGAACAUACCCUUUCCUGCGGAAUAGCUCCGGGAAACUGGAAUUAAUACCGCAUACGCCCUACGGGGGAAAGAUUUAUCGGGGAAGGAUUGGCCCGCGUUGGAUUAACUAGUUGGUGGGGUAAAGGCCUACCAAGGCGACGAUCCAUGGCUGGUCUGAGAGGAUGAUCAGCCACAUUGGGACUGAGACACGGCCCAAACUCCUACGGGAGGCAGCAGUGGGGAAUAUUGGACAAUGGGCGCAAGCCUGAUCCAGCCAUGCCGCGUGAGUGAUGAAGGCCUUAGGGUUGUAAAGCUCUUUCACCGGAGAAGAUAAUGACGGUAUCCGGAGAAGAAGCCCCGGCUAACUUCGUGCCAGCAGCCGCGGUAAUACGAAGGGGG